UAUAUUAUAAAUCCUGUUGCGUUUUUUGCUACUAAAAGACUAAAUUGUCCCUCUACAUUUUCCGUAUUCACAUCCAUAUGCCACUCUUUCCGCUUCAACUUUAUACACUCAAUCCAUUUCAUCCGUUGAUUUCAAAAGCAGAGCCGCGUGUCACCUCUUCCACUCCUCUCUUUCGUUUCUUGAUUUUAUUUCAAAUUUGAAUCUCGCUGUGUGUAUCUGUCUCUAUCUCUCCUUCUUACUCUCAUAUGUUUCUCUCUCAUAUUUUAACAUAUAGUCAUUGAUGAUUGAUUGUUCUUGCAGAAGCU
rnacentral:lncRNA from 1 species